UUACUCCUCGAUUUAUCGAGCAUUCGUUGCCUGAUCUUACACCUGAGCAGAGAAAAAGCAUGAGAGAAAUCAGUAAAGCUGACGGGCCUAGGAUUAAGUAUCUGGAAAGAGUUGUUCAUAAGAAGAGGAAGUAUUCCGAGCAGCACUCUGUUCGAACUGCUACCCAGGAGUUCCUUGAGAAAGCUGCCCGUGAACUUCUUGGUGAAAACCAGAGUGGUUUUAAGGGACCUUUACAACUGCCAGAGGG